CACCAAAUGAAGAAAGUUUUAGGUAAUUUCAGAAGCAUUAAAAAGACAUUAAGUAGGAACCUAAAAGUAAGCAAAAACUAGUGCAUUUUAUAUUUCAUUACUGAGGAA
rnacentral:snoRNA from 1 species